UACGAAGGGGGCUAGCGUUGCUCGGAAUCACUAGGCGUAAAGCGCACGUAGGCGGGUCGUUAAGUCAGGGGUGAAAUCCCGGAGCUCAACUCCGGAACUGCCUUUGAUACUGGCGAUCUUGAGUUCGAGAGAGGUGAGUGGAACUGCGAGUGUAGAGGUGAAAUUCGUAGAUAUUCGCAAGAACACCAGUGGCGAAGGCGGCUCACUGGCUCGAUACUGACGCUGAGGUGCGAAAGCGUGGGGAGCAAACAGG
rnacentral:rRNA from 1 species